GACCAAUCACAGCGCCAUGUGCACAUAGUGAACGUUUACCAAUGCCCUCCUGGCUUCGGUAGCUACUUCCAGGGUCACACAGGAAAUGUGAUGUGGCUGUUACUUUCACAAUGUCUGCCAUUUUCAACUUCCAGAGCCUCCUCACAGUGAUCCUGCUCCUCAUCUGCACGUGUGCCUAUCUCCGCUCCCUCACCCCCACCCUGCUGGACAAGAACAAAACAGGGAUUCUGGGAAUAUUCUGGAAAUGUGCAAGAAUAGGUGAGCGGAAGAGCCCAUACGUGGCCUGUUGCUGCAUCAUCAUGGCCGUGACCAUCCUGUUUGGGCAGUAGCUCGGCGUAACGGAGUGGACCGGCGUGAUUCGGCGAGGAAGGCAGCGAGGUCCAACAAUGACUACUACAACUACUACUUCUGACCACUCUGUUCCAGAGCGGGCGCGUCAUCAACGUAACGGACAAUUCCCAGCCAGUCACCCGCGGCAACGAGUUUGGGGUCGUCGCCGAGACCGAAAGGUCGCCAAACGGACUGCAGAGUGCUCAAACGCGCAGGUCUUCAUCUGCCGAGCCUGUGGGGCUUUCCAGAAACAUAACAUGGCGGGCCCCUUGUAACGUCGCUGUCGGCAUAGGAGCCUCGUUUUCCAGGACCCCCACCUCCCCUGUGUCAAUAGCGUGUGUUGGAGGGCUGAGGAAUUGUAAAAUGUCAUGUUUCUUUUUUUUUUUUGGUUGUUUUCUGUCAUCCAAAGUAGCUUGUCAGACACCAAAAUGCGGAAAAGCUAUCCCAUCUGUUUGUUUGAAGUCAGCGCUCUACAGCGCGAGCGCUUCAUGGGCCCUUCCUGAGGGCCUGUACACACGGUCCGAAGUGUUUCAGUGAGCCUGCUGACCGGCAGCUCUUGUAAAGCCAUUUAACGAUUUAUUAAAAAUAAAUCAUGUUUUUGAAGAGCACUGAAAAACAAACGUUUCAUUGUUUGCUGAUGUGCAGUUUGCCUACAAACUUUCCACUUUCCAGAUGAAUUUUUGGGCAAGGAAUGGCAGAGAGAAUAGCUAGCUGAUCAUCAUCCCCAUGUUGAAACCUUAUGUGAACUUAAAUGGCCUGUUCCGCAGACAAAGGCAAGCCUAGUCCUAGACUAAAUUCAAUUAUGAAUGUAGAUUCAAUUUAGUUCGGGACUAAGCUUAAUCUGUGUCCGUGAAUCCGGUCCAAACAGUUUAGUAUAACAGAAUUUGUGUUCUUUCAAAAUUGGCAAAAUUGCUCAAUAUGGUUUACAGAUACAAAGUUAUUUGCACACUGCUAUGUUCAGGUGAAAUAAAAUAAAGUCAGCAAUGGAUUGGGUAUUACCAAUUA